GGGGAAUUUUCCGCAAUGGGGGAAGCCCUGACGCAGCGGACGCCGCGUGAGCGAUGAAGUCUCUAGGGAUGUAAAGCUCUGUCCUACGGGGAAGAAGAAUGUGACGGUACCCGUAGAGAAAGCCCCGGCUAACUACGUGCCAGCAGCCGCGGUGAUACGUAGGGGGCGAGCGUUGUCCGAAUUUACUGGGCGUAAAGCGCGUGUAGGCGGCCUUUUAAGUCAGAUGUGAAAUCCUGUGGCUCAACCACAGAACUGCAUUUGAAACUGGAAGGCUUGAGUUUGGGAGAGGAAAGUGGAAUUCCUGGUGUAGCGGUGAAAUGCGUAGAUAUCAGGAGGAACACCCGUGGCGAAGGCGGCUUUCUGGCCCAAUACUGNCGCUGAGACGCGAAAGCUAGGGGAGCGAAAGGGAUUAGAUACCCCAGUAGUC
rnacentral:rRNA from 1 species